rnacentral:lncRNA from 1 species
GAGUGUUCGUACUCAAACCAUUGUAUUUCUUUGUUGAUAUCUUAGUGAAUUUUAGCCAGAAGACUGUUAGUGUAGGAAAGUGAACGUAGGCUUGAUUUAAGCCGAAUUACUACAAAUCUCGUUUUCAAUUUUCUUUUCCCUUAACUCUUUUGAUUUGUUCGUCGUUAUCUUUUUCUAAACUCCUUGAAUUUCUAAACCAUCUUUAAUUGAGUCUAAA